GCGGUAAUAGCUCAAAUUUGAAAUCUGGCUCUAGGGUCCGAGUUGUAAUUUGUAGAGGAUGUUUCGGGUGCGCCCGCAGUUUAAGUUCCUUGGAACAGGACGUCAUAGAGGGUGAGAAUCCCGUCUUGAACUGUACGGCAAGUCCAUGUGAAACUCCUUCGACGAGUCGAGUUGUUUGGGAAUGCAGCUCAAAAUGGGAGGUAAAUUUCUUCUAAAGCUAAAUAUUGGCCAGAGACCGAUAGCGCACAAGUAGAGUGAUCGAAAGAUGAAAAGCACUUUGAAAAGAGAGUUAAACAGUAUGUGAAAUUGUUAAAAGGGAAGCGUUUGCAACCAGACUUGUUUCUAACAGUUCUACCGCAGUUCUCUGUGGCUUAUUCUGUUAGUCCAGGCCAGCAUCAGUUUGGGUGGCUCGUUAAAGACUUUGGGAAUGUAUCUACUCCUUCGGGUGUAGACUUAUAGCCCAUUGUGUAAUAGGGUCUACCUGGACUGAGGUACGCGCAU
rnacentral:rRNA from 1 species